rnacentral:rRNA from 1 species
CAAUAGCGUAUAUUAAAGCUGUUGCGGUUAAAAAGCUCGUAGUUGGAUUUCUGUCAAGGACAACUGGUCCGCCCUCCGGGUGAGCACAUAGUUUGGUCUUGACAUCUUGCUGGAAGCUGUUGCUGCACUUGGCUGUGUGGCGCAGUGUUCAGCACUUUCACUUUGAGGAAAUUGGAGUGUUUCAAGCAGGCACAUGCCUUUGGACACAGUAGCAUGGAAUAAUUAAAUUGGGCUUUUGCUCCAAUUUGUCGGUUUCUGGAGCUGAGGUGAGUAUUAAUGGGGAUUGUUGGGGGCAUCCGAAUUUAGCCGUCAGAGGUGAAAUUCUUGGAUCUGCUAAAGACGGACAACUGCGAAAGCGUUUGCCCAGGAUGUUUUCAUUGA